UUAGCAGUUUUCAAAUGAAUUUUUUAUUGUAGAAAAUAAAUAUUAAAUAUUUGUUAGCAAAACCUCUCUUAAUAGAUAACUCACAUUUGAAAUUCCUGUUCGAUAACACUAAAUGUAAGCAAAUAAUUAGAAUGAGUUUAUUAUUUUUAUUAGUUUAGCAUUGAUUUGUAUUGGUUGGUUAUACUACGAUGUUUUUUUUUAUUAUAUUUUAGAUACUUGAUAAUUACCCAAAUCAUCAAAUUUUGUUGAAAUAAUAUUUAUAAACGAAAGUAUUCUUGUAAUGCUUAUUUAAUGAGCAUUACAAAAAUAAUCUGUAGUAAUUUUGAAAAAAAAAUGUGAUUUAGUAUAGAUUAACUAUGGAACACAGAUAUUAUCAUUAAAAUUUUUUUAAUAUUACUAUUUUUUUAAUAUUUUACUAAACAGUUCUUUGGAUUAGAUAGAGGGAACAAAACUCGCGAAAAAUCUAUCUGCUGUGAAUGCUAUUUUUAUUGAUCCUUUAUUUGUUUAAGUUUUUUUUGAAGUUGUGUUAUUAAUGUAUAAGGUGUUCAAUAAUUAAGGAAACGAGUUUCUGUUUUUCUCAUUGUUUGGAACAAUUAACCUGUUUCCUUACUUACUGAACACUCUUUAGAUUUUUUAGCGGUUAUUGUAUAGAACAAAUUAUGAGUUAUCCAAUUACAAUUGAACCAUAUCCGAAAGCUUUAGUGCAUACUGUCAUCCUAAAUUAAAAGACAGGAAAAUAUAAGUUAAAAUUUAAAGCCGCUUUUAGCUGUAAUAAAUCCAUUGAUUAUCUGAUAAAUAUUGAUUUUCAUUUAUCAAAGGCUUCGCCAACAAUAACUCUCUUAACGGGAACUGCGACAUUUAAAAUUCCAUUUGAUGACUCACUAUAUUAUAACAUUAAUAUGGCGAUUUGGUCGAAAAUUGGAGGUUGGAAAGAUAAUGCUUUUGUGUAUAAAAAUAAAGGAGCAUGUUCAAUGCUAAAAUUUUUUUUCGGAAACACAUGGAAACAUUUAGUACAAGCAGAAGAUUGUCCAGUUCAAGCGGGUACAUAUCAUCUUAAAGGUUAUGAUUUGUCACUAAUAUCUCAGGCGAAUUUUCCGAAGGAGUUUUUUUAUGGCACAUACAAGUAUAAGCUAUUUUAUACAGAUGAUAAAUUUGUCGAAGUUGGCUGUUUUUUUAUUAUAUUUGAUUUAUUAAGACCUUGGGAAUAAUAAUGUUUUGUAAUUUUUAACAUAAGUGUUUACAAAGAAAGGUAAAGGAGAUAAUCGCUUUUUAUUUUUUAAUACUUUGUGUGUUUUUAAUGUAUUAUAUUAUAUAUACUCUUAUUUAAUGGGUUAAACGUGAUAUAUUGCUCUUUGUCAAUUUUCUGUAUUAUGUAAAUGUUUUUAAUAUAGAACAAUUAUGUAGUCAACAUUUUUAAUUAAAGGUCAUUUCUCUUGCUAUUAUUAUUCUAAUGAUUUAAUUUUUAAAUAUUCAAAAUUAUUAACUAGUAUUCAUUUGUUUAGUCGUAUUAAAUCUCGCGUAUGUAUUAAUAUUUUAACCGGUUGCAUGAACAUUUACAGAAUCAAUGACCUAAUAUCAGUUCCAUAAAUUAAAAAAAAAAAACAGUUCCGCAAAAUUAUCAAAUAUUAUCAAAUUUCCAUUUAUCGAAUCAAUAAUUCUUUGGCCCAAUUUCUGAUCUCUAAAAUUUAUUGAGCUGUUUAUCUGUCUCCUUAUCGAAUUAUAUUUGUUAUAAAAAAUAGUUUUUAUUUGGGUUUUUAAAUACUAACAGUUUAAUAAAAAAUAUUAAACAAGUAUUGUUGUGUUCGUAUUAUUUUAAAAAAAUUAAUUUUAAAUCGAGAAAUUUAUGUUCUAAUCUUCAGUCUUAUAUUUAAUCGAAUAGUUUUCAUUUUAUUUUUUCGACUUAUCCGAUGAAGAAAUGAUUUUUGUAAUUACAAUUCGUCUACCAAGUCUAAGACAGCUAAGAAAUAGAUCUUUUAAAAUAGAAAUUCUUUUUAAAUUUUAUGAUGAUUUAGAUUUUAAAUGUAGAUUUAGAUUAUCUAAAGAAAUUUUUAUAUUUCUUGUGAAUAUAAUCGAGGAUGCUAUAAAACACAAAACUCAAGAAGUUAUUCGUUGUCCUCUAAGUUACAGCUUUUAAUAAAGUUUCAAUAUUAUGCUACUGGUGUAUUUCAAAUGGUUUUAGGAUAUCAUAUUGCCGUACAUAAAGCCAUUGUUUGUAGAGUCAUUAAAAUAAUGAUUACACAAAUAGGUUUUUUGCAUUCUCAAUUUAUUAAAUUUCCCAAUAACGUUGCUGAACAACAAAAAAUUCAAGUUAGGUUUUAUAGAUUACAUCAAUUUUCCUGUGUAAUUAGCGUCGUCAUUGAUUGUUCGCAUAUUCAAAUACAAUCUCCUAUAAAUAAUAAUGAUGAAUAGUUUUGGAAUCGAAAAAGAUAUUUUUCUUUAAAUAUUCAGGCAAUAUGAGUUAGUAAUUUGUACAUUUUAAACAUUGUUGCUAGGUGGUCAGAAUUAGUGAAUGAUAGCACAAUUGUUAAAAAUACCUGUUAAAUUCGAAAAUCAUUAGUUCAGGAAUGUAUUUACUUAGGAUUACCCAUUGUAGAAAUUAUUUAAUAACACCAUGAUUAAAUCUAAUAACUAAUGCUGAAAAAAAACUAGAAGGUAGAAAUCGGUACAAGAAAUGUAAUCGAAAAGUUUUUUUGAAGUUUGGAAGAGGAGAUUUUCUUUUACUUGCCUUAAGUUUUCGUACUAAAAUGAGCACCACCAUGAGUAGAUAUAAAAAGUCUGAGCUGAAUACCACCCCGAGCAACCCAAGCAUCUUACCUAGUUGUAUGUGUGUUACAUAGUUGGUGUGCGAAUCGGGAUGAUAUGGUGAAAGGUCUAUGUAGCACGAUCUUAGAUAACAUUGUGUUCUACCAUUGUAUAUGCAUAGUAUACCCAAGUAGAUAAAACAUCAUAUAGUAUAACUUAAUAUAUAAAAAUAGUACAGUAAGUAUCAUAAGUAUUAUAUUAUGCAUUAUUAUUAUUUAUAUUAUAUAGUUUUAAAUUUAUUAUCAUAAGUAUUACUGAUAUUUUUUUUUUUUAAUUGUAAAGAAAAACUUAGGUUAUUUACAGAUAACAACCAAAAGUUGAGGAGUAUAUUUAAAAGUCGUUUUAUGAUAGAUCUCGUUUGCAUUUACAACUUAAUUGUAUCACGCAAACAAGAUAAAUGCUUAUUAUCUAUCGUAAAUUUUAAUUUGGAUAGAGAGGUUGUAGAUGAGUAUUCAGAGUGGAAAUUAUAAUUUUAUACAUAAUAAUUUUUUUACUGAUGAAGUAUAAUCGAUGAAUAGGUAUAGAUCAUUAAACAUAGUUUCAUUAAACAAAAUUUCAUCGAAGCUAUCGAUAAUUUUUAUGGAGGUUUUGAAAUUUUAAAGAAUAUAUUGAAGUACAAAUAAUAUGUUAAUAACUUCCCAAUAAAUGAUAAAAAAUCAACAAAAUAAUAUUAAUAUGAAAUCACCAGAACUCGUGUUGCUGCAAGAAACUUUAGAACUAACAGUCAUUGCUUUGGAUAGACUACCAGACAGCCCAUUUUUAUCCAAAAUAUCAA